AGAAAAGCCCACUGGUAAGUAGUGUAUCUUAAGUCCCAUGACAUCUCUGGAUCAAAGUGACAGAGACACAUAAACCAAAUCUCCCUUGCAGACAACUUGUGCAAGCAGUGCAUUAGAAGAUGAAGAAUUGAUGAUGGAAUCAGUUAGUAGCAGCAAUCUCAUGUUCCAGUCCAAGGACAGUCUCUCACUGAGUGUUCAAUCUUUAACACUAGAAGUCGCUGAACCAUCUUCAGAAGUGGCUAGACAUGCUCUGAUUAACGGAGACAAUGAUGGAAACAAGGUGGAUCCAAUUGGUUCUUCAAGAUAUAUCUGGUCCUCCUUUUGAUGUUAGAAAGUCCAACUUUCCCUUCUGAAACUCUGUCAUUUAGUUCAAUUUCUGAAGCAAGCAGAUACGCUACACGGCCAUUGACAAGAACUGUAUGGUUGAUCAUUCUCCAAAUUUAGUAAAACUCAGGCACGUGUCCUCAAGUGCUUUUGAUAGUCAGAGUGGACAGGUACCUCUCGCUGAUAAUGAUGUUGAGACAAACUCAGAGGAUAAUCUUGAUGAUGAAACCGAUUGCAUUACAGUGACUAAUGCAGUUGCUGGCGUUGAUUCUCGCUCGAAGCUCAAUUUCUGAGAUCUCCAAGGAACACUCAUGUGCAUUUGGCACCACCUAGAGCUCCAUGAAGACACACUGGAUAAUGGAAUGUUCAUGUCUGCUGGAUGUCAAGAUAUUGUUUCGAUUUGGAAACGGGUAUCAUGGGAAUGCGGCUGCAACAAUGGGGGCUACUGCUCAAAGCAUGCAAGAGAUGUGCAUCUCAUACAAUAUGACACUACCGAACACAUUGCUGGUUUCCUUUGUGAAGCUACACAGAUAACCAGCGCUUUACUAGUGUUGAACUUCAUGUAUAAUCAAAGACUGAAUGAUUCUCAUUGACAAAUAAUAUCACUAUGUUUUCUUCUUA